rnacentral:rRNA from 1 species
CCUACGGGAGGCAGCAGUGGGGAAUAUUGCGCAAUGGGCGAAAGCCUGACGCAGCGACGCCGCGUGAGGGAUGAAGGUCUUCGGAUCGUAAACCUCUGUCAGCAGGGAAGAACGGUCACUGUGCUAAUCAGCAGUGAAUUGACGGUACCUGCAAAGGAAGCACCGGCUAACUCCGUGCCAGCAGCCGCGGUAAUACGGAGGGUGCGAGCGUUAAUCGGAAUUACUGGGCGUAAAGCGCUCGUAGGCGGUAUGUCAAGUCAAGGGUGAAAUCCCCGCGCUCAACGUGGGAACUGCCUUUGAAACUGGCAAACUGGAGUGUGUGAGAGGAUAGUGGAAUUCCAGGUGUAGGAGUGAAAGCCGUAGAUAUCUGGAGGAACAUCAGUGGCGAAGGCGACUAUCUGGCACAUAACUGACGCUGAGGAGCGAAAGCGUGGGUAGCAAACAGGAUUAGAUACUCCAGUAGUU